rnacentral:rRNA from 1 species
UACAGAGGUCUCAAGCGUUGUUCGGAUUUAUUGGGCGUAAAGAGCGUGUAGGCGGCCAGGUAGGUCUGCUGUGAAAACUCGAGGCUUAACCUCGAGAUGUCGGCGGAAACCAUCUGGCUAGAGUCCGGAAGAGGAGAGUGGAAUUCCUGGUGUAGCGGUGAAAUGCGCAGAUAUCAGGAAGAACACCCGUGGCGAAGGCGGCUCUCUGGGACGGUACUGACGCUGAGACGCGAAAGCGUGGGGAGCGAACAGG